CCAGGAUUCCCCUAGUAACUGCGAGUGAAGCGGGAAAAGCUCAAAUUUAAAAUCUGACAGUUUUGGCUGUUCGAGUUGUAACCUAGAGAAGUGUAGCCCGUGCUGGACCGUGUACAAGUCUCCUGGAACGGAGCGUCGGAGAGGGUGAGAAUCCCGUCUUUGACAUGGACUACCAGUGCAUUGUGGUUGUGCUCUCAACGAGUCGAGUUGUUUGGGAAUGCAGCUCUAAAUGGGUGGUAAAUUCCAUCUAAAGCUAAAUAUUGGCGAGAGACCGAUAGCGAACAAGUACCGUGAGGGAAAGAUGAAAAGAACUUUGGAAAGAGAGUUAAACAGUAUGUGAAAUUGUUGAAAGGGAAACGCUUGAAGUCAGAGAUGUUGUCCGGGGAUCAAGCUAGCUGAUUUGGUGGGUUUAUUUCCUGGUUGACAGGCCAACAUCAGUUUUGGCCAGCAGAGAAAGGCCAAGGGAAUGUGGCACCUUUGGGUGUGUUAUAGCUCUUGGUCAUAUGUGUUGGUUGGGACUGAGGAAAGCAGCGCGCCGCAAGGCCGGGUUUCGACCACGUUCGCGCUCAGGAUGUUGGCAUAAUGGCUUUAAGCGACCCGUCUUGAAACACGGACCAAGGAGUCUAACAUGCAUGCAAGUGUUUGGGUGGAAAACUCAUUCGCGUAAUGAAAGUGAAAGUUGAGAACCCUGUAAUGGGGAGCAUCGACGCCCGGACCAGAACUUUUGGGACGGAUCUGCGGUAGAGCAUGUAUGUUGGGACCCGAAAGAUGGUGAACUAUGCCUGAAUAGGGUGAAGCCAGAGGAAACUCUGGUGGAGGCUCGUAGCGAUUCUGACGUGCAAAUCGAUCGUCGAAUUUGGGUAUAGGGGCG
rnacentral:rRNA from 1 species